GAUGAAGAACGCAGCGAAAUGCGAUACUUGGUGUGAAUUGCAGAAUCCCGUGAACCAUCGAGUCUUUGAACGCAAGUUGCGCCCGAAGCCAUUAGGCCGAGGGCACGCCUGCCUGGGCGUCACACGUCGUUGCCCCCCCAUCUACUCCUUCGGGAUUGCGGGGGGCGGAUGAUGGCCUCCCGUGCGCCUCGCCGCGCGGUUGGCAUAAAUGCCAAGUCCUCGGCGACGCACGCCACGACAAUCGGUGGUUGCGAAACCUCGGUUGCCCGUCGUGUGCGGUCGUCGCGCAUCGAGGGCUCGAAAAAAUUGCCGGGUUCCGGCUCGGCUUUCAACGCGACCCCAUGUCAGGCGGGGUUACCCGCUGAAUUUAAGCAUAUCAAUAAGCGGAGGA
rnacentral:misc_RNA from 1 species